AGUUGAUCCCUAUGUUCCCAAGGAAAAGGAGUUUUUAUUGCAAAAAAAUAGGAUUAUAGACCAUUGAUUUUGUGAAAUACAUGGAUAUGUAAAUGGAAACAAGGUCGGCUUUCAAGGACUGCACAGUAAGCAAAUAUUUCCAGGUUUUAUACACUCAGAGGAAUAGAAGAAAUAUAUUGGCCUCCAGAAAAUGGGAAAAAGCUUAGAAAUCGAAAUACAUGUCACAUGCAUUGUCUCGAGUAGUAGAUUUACUUUUAAGAAAAAUCUCCCUCCUCCUUGGUCCCUAGAGAUUUGGGUGCUAAGAAAAAUCUGUUCUCCAAUUCAGGGUUGUAAGAAACCCUCCACAGCAAAAGCAUUGUUGACUUCUAAUGAAGCAGAGAGACAUAUCUAGCUUUGAAAUAGAGGUUGCCAAAUGGUAUUCCCAGUGACACAUGGGAGACUGGAGGAAAGGGUCCCCACAGAAAUUCAUCAGUGUGGGGAGAGCUGGUUAGUAGGUAGGCCAUAGAAUUUUCCAGUGACAUCACCAGUAAGCCGUUCACUGGACACUCUAUUGUAUCUAAGAGAUCCCUAGAAUCUUCUGUGAUGUCACCAGUGUUGUGGUGACACCAACUGCCUUUGGGAUAUUCCUUCAGUUCCCUUUGGGUUCACAAGCAGGCAUGUUUCGCCAGCUGCUCAGGCUAUUUCGGAAGGAAAGUGUUGAUCAAGGAGAGACCGCACCAGGUCAGAGGGAAGCUGACCCCCUCUCUAGUGAAACAGGAAGGAGGAAAUCAUUCUUGGGAAGGCUUGGUGAGUCUUGGGCAGAGUUGGGGAACAUCCUCAAGGAGGUAGGUUUGAGAUGUGCCUUCUAAGACUAGGCCUUACAAGCAGGAGCCUUGGGAUUUUUCAAAGGCAAACCAAGAGUCAGGAGUUCCUGAUCUUUAAUUUGAGAGAAAGCCAUAAAGUUGUAAGACUUCAGUGUCUUUUCUUGAAGCUUUUUAACUAUGAGUGUCAAUGAUUGGCAGGAGGAGGCACUGUGAGAUUAACAAUGUAACCAUCCAUGUUUGGGAGUUGAAGCACUUCAUCCUCUAGAUUACUGUACGUUACAUAAGUCUUGAUGGCGAGAACAAGGAAGGAUGCACCCCUAGUCAUGAAUUGAGUUCUCAGACACUUUGGGCUGGACCACACUUGGUUAGAGCUUGAUGGUGCUAAACAUUAUGAAGUCAUUAUGAACUCCAGGAUUAUCUGCACCACAUCUGAUAUAACAAUGUCGCAGAUGUUUAUGUCUCAGUCAUAUUAUAACUUUCAGUGCCACGGGUUGUGUAAUAGUGAGUGUGGCACGUGUAUGGCAUUAGAGGUUGGGAACAGGGACAUAGCUUAAGAAUCAACCUUUAAGAAAGCUUUUCUGCUCUUUCAGGGAUUCACCCAGUCUCUACCAUUUCCCCUUCCUCAACCUCCUUUUCGGAUUCAGAAUGAUCUAUUCUGCCCAUUGGUUCAAAUAUGCAAAUUCACUUGGGUUUAUCUGUCUACAGGUUUUGGUAGGAAGGCAUCAUCCCAAAAUGUCAUCAGUCAGCAAGAGGAGUGUCUAAAGGAACUGGAGGAACUCAAAUUUGAAAUCCAGAAGUGUCAAUUCGAGAGGGAUGAACUUUAUCAAAUCCUGGAUCUUUAUAUCUAUGAUCAGUGGGACCACAGGCUGCAUGUCGAAUUGCCAGUCCUUCAAUCUGAACAUGAGACGAGAAUGAUGGCUAUGCAAAUGAUGACCAACUCAAUAAGUGAUGCCAUGGAGAGGUACAAGAGGCUCAUACAAGUGAACAGUUCCUACCAGUGAGUCGCUGACAGAGAUGAGAACCCAGCACUAGGCAGGGAAUGCUUCUGUCCUGUAUGACUUUAACAAAAGUCAGGGCUCUGGUUCCAUGGUGUUUGACUCUUCACAAGAAGGCUGCCUCCUGGCAAGGGUCUUAGAUUUGUAGCUCUUGGACUCAGUUGUCCUACAUGUGAAGGGUGUAGAAGACCCUCCAAUUGUUAUUUUCCCCGUUAAAGUUCCUCUAGAUUGAAAAGGUUUGCACCAUGAUGGGAAUAUCAAUCAACUCUGAAUCUCUAGGACUCUGACAGGAGAUUUAAAGAUCUGUGAUCCAUGAGAAACACAUGGAAAGAGUCUAUAUCUAUUGGGUCUUCAACUACCACUCAGAGAGGCUUUCCCCACAACGUGAAGAUGGUUUCACCAUACCAUGGACAUACGAGCUCCCUUAUGGACCAUCUCUUCUUCCUUGAUUUAUAUAAACCGUCUUAGUGUCAGGAUUUUCAGAAGUACUUUGAUUCAUGUGGAAUGUGGAUUCUGGAUUUGACCUCCUCUAAUUGGUGCUAACUUGCAUAGUGUGGCUCUAUUCUGGGGAUUUCUGAGGAUGAGGACCCUUGAAGGGAUGAUUGGACUUGUAGGAGUGACAGGCAAAUAGAAGCUGGCUGGGAUUUACCAUUUUUUGUUUGUGGUUCAGCAUCAGGCACUCCCAGCUCCUGCGUGAACAAGCUCAAUUGAAGAACAAUAUACAGAUUUUGCUAAAUGAGAAGAGAGAACUGCUGGUGGAGCAGACUGAACUGCCAGCAUUCUCUGUGGAGACAAAAAGGCUCUGUGAAGAGGCCGGAAUGAACAUCUGUGACCCCAGUGCCACGCAACAGCAGGUCUGAAAUUCUCCAGCAGAAACUCGAACAUGACACAGACCAGGAUAAGAUCUCCCUUGGAGAGAAGAGCUACAGGAGGAGAACUAAGUGUGCACAGCAAAUACACCACUAUUGUGUCUCAUCUGUACUGUCCAUAGCAAUUGUGGACUGCAUUUUCCUCCUUUAGUUUAACUUCUUUGGAUUGAAUAGGCCGUACUUUCACCUCAGCCUCUCCAACAAAUGUGCACUUUUUGAGGGACUCAGAGAAGUGCUGAUGCACAUCAAUCAAGAGCUGCUGGUCAUCCAGAAAGACUGUGCAUGUGUAAAUUUGUACUUGUCCUGAUGGGUCAUCCAGAAGAGUUUCAUGGAGAUCAGUUCACAACAUUGGAAAGACUUUGUGACAAAGUCUGUAAUAUCAUUUAUACUCAGUAUUGGUAGGCUUUUUCCUUAAUACCCCCACUCCAACAAAACAGACCUACUUCCACUCCUCUCGAAAAGAUUGUUACCAUCACUAACUGCUUGUCUACUAUGUCUCCAAGGCAAGCCACAGGCUAUAUGUCUAUUCUGCAAAAGGAGCAGCAAAAGAAUGCUUAGCGCAAUUCUUCUAUUUAAAGUUUGGUUAAUUUUUAAUUGUUUUGGUUAUUUGGUUUUCCUUCUAUUCAUUUGAAGAUUUAUUAUUUAUCUGUUGUUGUUGUUUUCUUCAUUUGCUUUUCUAUUUUGAUAAGGAUAUAGACUGUAUAUAUUGACUACCUGCAUCUGGUUACUAUCAAGUAAAUUGGAUGUAUUCUGGUCAAUAAAGGAGUAAUCUUAAACUCU